GGUGGCGACCGGCGCACGGGUGCGUAACACGUAUACAAUCUACCUUAAACAGGGGGAUAGCCUUUCGAAAGAGAGAUUAAUACCCGUAAUAAAUUGAACGGCAUCGUUUGAUUUGAAAGCUCCGGCGGUUUGAGAUGAGUAUGCGUCUGAUUAGCUAGUUGGUGAGGUAACGGCUCACCAAGGCGACGAUCAGUAGGGGACCUGAGAGGACUAACCCCCACACUGGUACUGAGACACGGACCAGACUCCUACGGGAGGCAGCAGUAAGGAAUAUUGGUCAAUGGAGGCAACUCUGAACCAGCCAUGCCGCGUGCAGGAUGACGGCCCUAUGGGUUGUAAACUGCUUUUAUACAAGAGAAAAACCCUGGUACGUGUACCAAGUUGAUAGUAUUGUAAGAAUAAGCAUCGGCUAACUUCGUG
rnacentral:rRNA from 1 species